UACGUAGGGGGCAAGCGUUUGUCCGGAAUCAUUGGGCGUAAAGAGCGUGUAGGCGGUCCGGUAAGUCGGCUGUGAAAGUCAAGGGCUCAACCCUUGAAAGCCGGUUGAUACUGUCGGGCUAGAGUCCGGAAGAGGCGAGUGGAAUUCCCGGUGUAGCGGUGAAAUGCGCAGAUAUCGGGAGGAACACCAGUGGCGAAGGCGGCGACCUGGGCCAAUAUUGACGCCGAGGUGCGAAAGCGUGGGGAGCAAACAGG
rnacentral:rRNA from 1 species